UACAGAGGUCUCAAGCGUUGUUCGGAUUCAUUGGGCGUAAAGCGCGUGUAGGCGGCUUUGCAAGUCGGGUGUGAAAGCCCUCAGCUCAACUGAGGAAGUGCGCCCGAAACUGCAGAGCUUGAGUGCCGGAGAGGGUGGCGGAAUUCCCCAAGUAGAGGUGAAAUUCGUAGAUAUGGGGAGGAACACCGGUGGCGAAGGCGGCCAUCUGGACGGAUACUGACGCUGAGACGCGAAAGCGUGGGGAGCAAACAGG
rnacentral:rRNA from 1 species